rnacentral:rRNA from 1 species
GACGAACGCUGGCGGCGUGCUUAACACAUGCAAGUCGAACGGAAAGGCCCUGCUUUUGUGGGGUGCUCGAGUGGCGAACGGGUGAGUAACACGUGAGUAACCUGCCCUUGACUUUGGGAUAACUUCAGGAAACUGGGGCUAAUACCGGAUAGGAGCUCCUGCUGCAUGGUGGGGGUUGGAAAGUUUCGGCGGUUGGGGAUGGACUCGCGGCUUAUCAGCUUGUUGGUGGGGUAGUGGCUUACCAAGGCUUUGACGGGUAGCCGGCCUGAGAGGGUGACCGGCCACAUUGGGACUGAGAUACGGCCCAGACUCCUACGGGAGGCAGCAGUGGGGAAUAUUGCACAAUGGGCGGAAGCCUGAUGCAGCAACGCCGCGUGCGGGAUGACGGCCUUCGGGUUGUAAUCCACUUUCGCCUGUGACGAAGCGUGAGUGACGGUAAUGGGUAAAGAAGCACCGGCUAACUACGUG